UACGGAAUGUGCAAACGUUAUUCGGAAUCACUGGGCUUAGAGAGUCCGUAGGCGGCCUGUUAGGUGAGGUGUGAAAUCCCCCGGCUCAACCGAGGAAUUGCGCUUCAAACCGGCGUGCUUGAGGAAGAUAGAGGUGGGCGGAACUGAUGGUGGAGCGGUGAAAUGCGUUGAUAUCAUCAGGAACACCGGAGGCGAAGGCGGCCCACUGGGUCUUUUCUGACGCUGAGGGACGAAAGCUAGGGGAGCGAACGGG
rnacentral:rRNA from 1 species